rnacentral:lncRNA from 1 species
AUAAGGGAACAUGGUAGAACAUGUUGAAAAUUAGAGAAAACUUUAAAAGAUAACUUAAUGAAAUCCUAUAUCGGAGAAGAUAAAGGUUCUGAAGGUAAAGUUUUGAAAGAAACUUUGAGAAAAUAUGUAAAAGCUUAGAGAAAACAUAGAUAUACAACGAAUCUAAAAGAAUCGGAAAAACCUUGAAGGUUAGGAUUUUAGAAGAACCCAGAUGGUGAGAAAGGCUUGGAAUGUCCUUGAUCUAAGUAGGAGAAGUCAAGAUCAGGCUUGAAUAACCAUGGCUGGCCGGAGUAAGGUCGAAGAAGACCAGAGACAGCAUAGCACUAAAGUAGACCAAGGUGUGGAUCAAACUUCAUCAAGGUUUGGUCUUGAAAGCAUGAUAAUCAAGCAGGUAGAAGUUGUAGGAGGCAGAUACAUGCCUUUAAUGGCUUUGGAAACCAUUGAUUCAGGCGAUUUUAGGGUGGUGGAAGAAGGCGGCUGCUAGGUUUGAGAGAGAGUUUGGGAGAAGGGGGAUUCAAGGGCGGCUACUGG